AAUCAACGCUGGCGGCGUGCCUAACACAUGCAAGUCGAACGCGAAAGACCCCUUCGGGGGUAAGUAGAGUGGCGUCCGGGUGAGUAACACGUAGGUAAUCUACCUUCGGGUGGGGGAAUAACUCGCCCGAAAGGCGAGGCUAAUACCGGCAUAAUGCAGCGGNACCUAAUGGUGAUUAGUUGUUAAAGCGGGGGAUCGGUAAGACCUCGCGCCUGAAGAGGAGCCUGCGGCAGAUUAGCUAGUUGGGAGGUAAUGGCUCACCAAGGCUUC
rnacentral:rRNA from 1 species